rnacentral:rRNA from 1 species
CCUACGGGAGGCAGCAGUGAGGAAUAUUGGUCAAUGGACGAGAGUCUGAACCAGCCAAGUAGCGUGAAGGAUGACUGCCCUAUGGGUUGUAAACUUCUUUUAUAAAGGAAUAAAACGAGGCACGUGUGCCUUUUUGCAUGUACUUUAUGAAUAAGGAUCGGCUAACUCCGUGCCAGCAGCCGCGGUAAUACGGAGGAUCCGAGCGUUAUCCGGAUUUAUUGGGUUUAAAGGGAGCGUAGAUGGGUUGUUAAGUCAGUUGUGAAAGUUUGCGGCUCAACCGUAAAAUUGCAAUUGAUACUGGCAGUCUUGAGGACAGUUGAGGUAGGCGGAAUUCGUGGUGUAGCGGUGAAAGGCUUAGAUAUCACGAAGAACCCCGAUUGCGAAGGCAGCUUACUAAACUGUGACUGACAUUGAUGCUCGAAAGUGUGGGUAUCAAACAGGAUUAGAUACCCGGGUAGUC